CCUACGGGAGGCAGCAGUUUGGAAUUUUGGACAAUGGACGAAAGUCUGAUCCAGCGACGCCGCGUGCACGAAGAAGGUCUUCGGAUCGUAAAGUGCUUUUGGCAGGGACAAAUUUUUGAUGGUACCUGCAGAAUAAGAGGUUGCUAACUCUGUGCCAGCAGCAGCGGUAAUACAGAGACCUCAAGCGUUAUCCGGAAUCAUUGGGCGUAAAGCGUACCGAUAGGUGGUUGAAAUAGUCUUGGGUAAAAGCCGGAAGCUCAACUUCCGCGUUUGCUUAAGAUACUUUUCGACUAGAGGGGCAAAGAGGUGCUUGGAACCAACGGUGUAGUAGUGAAAUGCGUUGAUAUCGUUGGGAACACCGAAAGCGAAGGCAGAGCACUGGGUGCCACCUGACACUGCUAGGACGAAAGCGUGGGGAGCGAAUGGGAUUAGAUACCCCUGUAGUC
rnacentral:rRNA from 1 species